GACGGAGGGUGCUAGCGUUGUUCGGAAUUACUGGGCGUAAAGGGCGCGUAGGCGGUCGUGACAAGUCACUUGUGAAAUCUCCGGGCUUAACUCGGAACGGUCAAGUGAUACUGUCGGACUAGAGUACAGAAGGGGCAACUGGAAUUCUCGGGUGUAGCGGUGAAAUGCGUAGAUAUCAGGAGGAACACCGAUGGCGAAGGCAGCUCGCUGGGACGGUACUGACGCUGGAGGCGCGAAAGCGUGGGGAGCAAACAGG
rnacentral:rRNA from 1 species